AACGAACGCUGGCGGCAUGCCUAACACAUGCAAGUCGAACGGGACCUUCGGGUUUACUGGCGCACUGAUGCGUAACGCGGUGGAACCUGCCUUUAGGUUUGGAAUAACGCGCCGGAAGAGGUGCUGAUACCGGAGAAUGUCUUGCGACCAAAGAUUGAUCGCCUUUGGGUGGGCGCGAGUUGUCUUAGCUUGUUAUUAGGGUAAAAGCGUAUCAAGGCGAGGAGCCAUAGCUGGUUUGAGAGGAUGGUCCGCGACACUGGGACUGGGACACGGUCCAGACUAUUACGCGAGGGGGGAGUGGGGGAUCCUGGCAAGUGGGGGAAGGGAUGAACCAGCACUGACGGGUGAGUGAUGAAGGUCGUAGGGAAGUGAAGCAAGUUUACACGGGACGAUAAUGACAGUACCGGCAGAAUAAGCACCGGCUAACUUCGUG
rnacentral:rRNA from 1 species